rnacentral:rRNA from 1 species
UGACCUACGGGGGGCAGCAGUGAGGAAUAUUGGUCAAUGGGCGGAAGCCUGAACCAGCCAAGUCGCGUGAGGGAAUAAGGCCCUACGGGUCGUAAACCUCUUUUGCCGGGGAGCAAGGGCCGGGACGAGUCCCGGUCCGGAGAGUACCCGGAGAAAAAGCAUCGGCUAACUCCGUGCCAGCAGCCGCGGUAAUACGGAGGAUGCGAGCGUUAUCCGGAUUUACUGGGUGUAAAGGGAGCGUAGACGGUGCGCCAAGUCUGGAGUGAAAUGCCGCAGCUUAACUGCGGAACUGCUUUGGAAACUGG